AGUGGACCGGGGNGGAAGCAUCCCUUUAUCGCAAGAGAAUGAAUAUAGGUAUGCAUAGGUGUGGUCAGCUUGUGUCAAGAGAGGUGGGUUAAGUNCCGCAACGGGCGCGACCCAUAUUGGCAGGAGGUAAGGUGGGAGGGCGAGCACUCNGGGGAAACUGCCCCGGAUAACGGGGAGGAAGGUGGGGAGGACGUCAAGUCAUCAUGGCCAUUAUGUCCAGGGGUACACACGUGGUACAAAGAGUGGUACAAACUGUCGCAAGCCCGCGAGGGGGAGNUAAUCGGAAAAAGCCAUCGUCAGUUCGGAUNGGAGUNUGCAACUCGACUCCANGAAGCAGGAAUCGAUAGUAAUCGCGGAUCAGCACGCCACGGAGAAUACGUUCCCGGGCCAAGUACACACCGCCCGUCACAUCACGAAAGUGGGUCUUACUAGAAGUAGGUAGGAUAAGGCAAGGAGUCAGCCGCCCAGGUAAAUUCAUGAAGGUUUAAAAUCGAACAAGGUA
rnacentral:rRNA from 1 species